rnacentral:lncRNA from 1 species
UAACCUGAGAAUGGCUUACAAUUAGGUAGUCAGAAGCCCAGCUCAGUGCUCAGGAAUGUAUUUGUAAUUCCUCUUAGACUUAUCAAAUGGACUGCAAUUUGAUACCUAAGAGUAAUAAAAAAAAAGAGAGCAUAUUUUAUUUUAAUGUUCCCUUCUCUUCCUCUGCCCACAAAAGUGAGGUCAGGGAAAGGGAGAGAAACCUAUCCUAAGCGCUCCUUAUGAGUUGCCUGUGACAUGAUAGCGCUCUCUCAAGUUCAUGCAAUCCUCAUCGGAACCCCAUGAGGGAGAUGUUAUUGUCUCCAUCUUAUAGAUGAGGAAACUGAAGAAAAGACCUUAUCAAAGGUCACACAUGGUAAGAAGUAGAGCUGCAUAUUUAACCAAAGCCCGUGUACCUGGAAAGCUCCUUCUCCUUCCCGCUUCUUCCUCUCAAACCAGGCCCUAGCUCCUCCACAAUGCUUCAGCCUUCUACGUCCACUCAGCUUUACAGUAAAAUGAUCACAGACCCAUGAGUUCCCUGGAGAGUAGAGUGAUGCCUGGGUCAGCUGUUCCUCUUGGCUGUUCAGCAGGUCCUUUGAGUGGCUUCACAAUCCAGCUGUCAGUGGCAGAAAAUAAUACCGCAUAAAUUAUUCACCUGGUUCACAUUGGCAUCCAUUAGCUCUCGGGGCUUGGUGUGGCUGCAGAUCAUCCACAAGCGCCCCUUGUUCUCUGCCCCCAAGGAGCUCCUGUCAUUGUUUUUAACCAAACAAGUUCAAAUAUCUCCACAUCUCUGCUGACUCUGGUCUUUUGUCUCUAGACUGUACCUUUAUUUCUGAGCUCUGAAAUUCUGCAGAAACAGGUGAGUCUUUAAGAGCAUUCUCUGGGAGGCCAAAAGCUCAGAACAGUUGUGUCUCUCUUUCUCAGUAUUAAAAGAUCAAGGUUUCCCAUGGAAGCCAGCCUGAUCUGGUAAUUGGGCCCUUCUAUACCCCUCUGAAUCCUUUUCCAAGGAGGCGGCAGUUCCCACUCCCACAGUUCCCCUGAGGGUUAAGAGUCCAGGUGGUGGCCGCGCUGCAAGAUUUGGGGCAGCCAUUUUGCCAAGGAUCAGAGAUUCGCUGUCAGAGAGGGGAGGUCAGCUCUGUCCCAUCCUGAAAAAAUCAUCUUAGAAAGACAGGUGGACUUCAUCAGAUUUGUUAGUCCUUCCUUGUUUUAAAGAGAAAAAUGAUCUCUGCCUUGCUUCAGAUAGGAUAUGGCUAUUUUUUUUCCUCCUUUUUCUAAUGUAGCAGUGAUGGAAAACACCAGUCUUUGAAGAACAAAUUGUGGUUCCCAGUGACAUGAAUCCAUUGUAUUUGAUUUUGGAUUGUAUUUUUUAACCCCUUUUUAUGGCAUAGAAUUCUGGUGCCUUGCUCCCUGGGUUUGUCUCUGUGCUACGAGUAGGCUUUCUUCACAUUCUGGCUUACAGGGGAACACAACUAUUCCACAAGUGGCCUUUAGUGCUCUUUAUAAUAUGAUUUCCUGUAAUUUUUAAACUGUAUGUGUAAUUUAUAUUCUGGCUCUGUCCAAUAUUUGAACAACUUUAAUAGGUUGAUUUCCAUAUAUAUUAUGCAAAUAAUUCUUACCUGAUUUUUUAUGUUCUAUCUUAAAUAAAUACUGCACCACUUAUUAA